UACAGAGGGGGCAAGCGUUGUUCGGAUUUACUGGGCGUAAAGGGCGCGUAGGCGGCCAGCACAAGUCAGUUGUGAAAUCUCCGGGCUUAACUCGGAAAGGUCAACUGAUACUGUCGGGCUAGAGUCCGGAAGAGGAGUGUGGAAUUCCUGGUGUAGCGGUGAAAUGCGCAGAUAUCAGGAGGAACACCAAUGGCGAAGGCAGCACUCUGGGACGUGACUGACGCUGAGACGCGAAAGCGUGGGGAGCAAACAGG
rnacentral:rRNA from 1 species